GGAAUAUUGGACAAUGGGGGCAACCCUGAUCCAGCCAUGCCGCGUGAGUGAUGAAGGCCCUAGGGUUGUAAAGCUCUUUUGUGCGGGAAGAUAAUGACGGUACCGCAAGAAUAAGCCCCGGCUAACUUCGUGCCAGCAGCCGCGGUAAUACGAAGGGGGCUAGCGUUGCUCGGAAUCACUGGGCGUAAAGGGUGCGUAGGCGGGUCUUUAAGUCAGGGGUGAAAUCCUGGAGCUCAACUCCAGAACUGCCUUUGAUACUGAGGAUCUUGAGUCCGGAAGAGGUGAGUGGAACUGCGAGUGUAGAGGUGAAAUUCGUAGAUAUUCGCAAGAACACCAGUGGCGAAGGCGGCUCACUGGUCCGGUACUGACGCUGAGGCACGAAAGCGUGGGGAGCAAACA
rnacentral:rRNA from 1 species